GGCGGUAGCUCAAUUGGCAGAGCAGCGGUCUCCAAAACCGCAGGUUGCAGGUUCGAUUCCUGUCCGCC
rnacentral:tRNA from 1 species